rnacentral:lncRNA from 1 species
GCGGCCCGGGCUGCGGCCCCGGGUCCGAGGAGGCCCGGGGAGACCCGGAGGAGGUCAGAAGGCCUUCAGGGUCCCCGGGAUGGGGUGGAAACUGAGACCCAGAGAGCCGUGACUUGACUGAUCCCACAGCCAGGAAAUGGUGGAGCCUGGAUUUGAACCCCAGCUUUUAAGAAGAAGGUGCCACUGUCCUGGAAGAACUCUCAGGACAGCAUUAGUGUCUCAGGGAUCCCCCUAAUCGGAGGGGCCUUAAGCCUAAUCAUGAUUGUCACUGAAGAUCCAGGAGGGCUUCCUGGAGGAGGAGGCAGCUCCAUUCUGAAAUGCCAAGGGUACAGCUUUAUUGGGACAGCCAGUGUCUCUGAAUAUGUAGGUUUUGCACAGAGCUUGUACUGCCCCAGGGCCUGUACACUGCCUGUCCCCUCUGCCUUGUGCACUCUUUCCCUAGAUGUCCAAAUGGCUCCUUUCCUCACCUACCCCAAAUCUCAAUUCCAGUGUUUCCCCAGCCUCCCCUCAUUUCAGUAAUCACUCUGCAGUGAGCUAGGAUUGCGCCACUGCACUCCAGCUUGGAUAAGAGAACAAGACCCUGU